GAUGAACGCUGGCGGCGUGCCUAAUACAUGCAAGUCGAGCGAACGGACGAGAAGCUUGCUUUUCUGAUGUUAGCGGCGGACGGGUGAGUAACACGUGUAUAACCUACCUAUAAGACUGGUAUAACUUCGGGAAACCGGAGCUAAUACCGGAUAAUAUUUUGAACCGCAUGGUUCAAAAGUGAAAGACGGUCUUGCUGUCACUUAUAGAUGGAUCCGCGCUGCAUUAGCUAGUUGGUAAGGUAACGGCUUACCAAGGCAACGAUGCAUAGCCGACCUGAGAGGGUGAUCGGCCACACUGGAACUGAGACACGGUCCAGACUCAUACGGGAGGCAGCAGUAGGGAAUCUUCCGCAAUGGGCGAAAGCCUGACGGAGCAACGCCGCGUGAGUGAUGAAGGUCUUCGGAUCGUAAAACUCUGUUAUUAGGGAAGAAGAUAUGUGUAAGUAACUGUGCACAUCUUGACGGUACCUAAUCAGAAAGCCACGGCUAACUACGUG
rnacentral:rRNA from 1 species